GGGUGUAUAGCUUAGUGGUAGAGCAUUCGACUGCAGAUCGAGAGGUCGCCAAUUCAAAUCCGGAUACUCCCA